rnacentral:rRNA from 1 species
CCUACGGGUGGCAGCAGUGGGGAAUAUUGCUCAAUGGGGGAAACCCUGAUGCAGCGACGCCGCGUGAGUGAAGAAGUAUUUAGGUAUGUAAAGCUCUAUCAGCAGGGAAGAAAAUGACGGUACCUGAUUAAGAAGCACCGGCUAACUACGUGCCAGCAGCCGCGGUAAUACGUAGGGGGCAAGCGUUAUCCGGAUUUACUGGGUGUAAAGGGAGCGUAGACGGCAGCACAAGUCUGGAGUGAAAUGCCGGGGCUUAACCCCGGAACUGCUUUGGAAACUGUGAAGCUAGAGUGCAGGAGAGGUAAGUGGAAUUCUUGGUGUAGCGGUGAAAUGCGUAGAUAUUAGGAGGAAUACUAGUGGCGAAGGCGGCCUACUGGAAUGUAACUGACGUUGAGGCACGAAAGCGUGGGGAGCAAGCAGGAUUAGAUACCCUGGUAGUC